rnacentral:rRNA from 1 species
GACGAACGCUGGCGGCGUGCUUAACACAUGCAAGUCGAACGGAAAGGCCCUGCUUUUGUGGGGUGCUCGAGUGGCGAACGGGUGAGUAACACGUGAGUAACCUGCCCUAGACUUUGGGAUAACUUCAGGAAACUGGGGCUAAGACAGGAUAGGAGCUCCUGCUGCAUGGUGGGGGUUGGAAAGUUUCGGCGGUUGGGGAUGGACGCGCGGCUUAUCAGCUUGUUGGUGGGGUAGUGGCUUACCAAGGCUUUGACGGGUAGCCGGCCUGGGAGGGUGACCGGCCACAUUAGGACUGAGAUACGGCCCAGUCUCCUACGGGAGGCAGCAGUCGGGAAUAUUGCACAGUGGGCGGGAGCCUGAUGCAGCAACGCCGCGUGCGGGAUGACGGCCUUCGGGUUGUAAACCGCUUUCGCCUGUGACGACGCGUGAGUGACGGUAAUGGGCAAAGAAGCACCGGCUAACUACGUG